AUAAAAAUAUCACAACUACAGAAUUGGAGCACACGGUGCACAAUCUAACAUUUAACACGACAUAUUAUUUUCGAGUACGUGCGCAUACUAAAAUUGUUGCUGGACCUUACACGGAUUUAAUCAAUGUAUCGACUACACAUGAAAAUCCAAUACCUAAAUUAUUACUCACAACGAAUGAAGAUAUCCAACUAUGGGAUGCGGAUUUAAACAUCAUUACUAAUUUUGAAAUAUCGUCACAAUCAGAAUUAAUAGAUGUCGCUUAUUCGAUACAAGAAUAUAGAAUUUAUUGGAUAACCCGAAGAGACCUAAUGACAUUAAAAAUUAAUGAAAAUAAUAUCACAAAAAUAGGUAGCUUUGAUCAUGAUCUACAUGAUUUCUGCAUUGACUGGGUAGCAAGAAAUCUAUAUUUGACCUAUCAAGAGCCAGAUUAUUCUUACAUUGUAAAAUUCGACUUAACAAUGUGGGAAAAUGGCAUAAUUAAAUUUUCUGAGAUUUUCAAAUCAGAAAAUGAUAUUGGCUUUUUAAGUAUAUCACCGUUUAUGGGAAUCUUAUAUCGCAUAUCAUACAAUUGGACGAUUGAAAAAUAUAAUAUGAUAAAAUAUCAUUUCGAUGGACAAAACGAUCAAAUUAUUGGGGUGGAUACUCACUUUAGUACACCCAUA